AAAAAUAUUUAAAUAAAAUUGAGAAUGGAAAUGGGGAAUGUGUCAAAGAGACAACAACCCGACCAAAUAAAAAACAACAGCAGAAGGUCACCAACAGGUCUUCAAUGUAGCGAGAAAUUCCCGCACCCGGAGGCGUCCUUCAGCUGGCCCCUAAACAAAUAUAUACUAGUUCAGUGAUAAUGAACGCCAUACUAAUUUCCAAAUUGUACACAAGAAACUAAAAUUAAAAUAAUACAAGACUAAGAAAGGCCAGAGGCUACUGACUUGGGACAGGCGCAAAAAUGCGGCGGGGUUAAACAUGUUUGUGAGAUCUCAACCCUCCCCCUUUACCUCUAACCAAUGUAGAA
rnacentral:lncRNA from 1 species